rnacentral:rRNA from 1 species
GAUGAACGCUGGCGGCGUGCCUAAUACAUGCAAGUCGAGCGAACGGACGAGAAGCUUGCUUCUCUGAUGUUAGCGGCGGACGGGUGAGUAACACGUGGAUAACCUACCUAUAAGACUGGGAUAACUUCGGGAAACCGUAGCUAAUACCGGAUAAUAUUUUGAACCGCAUGGUUCAAAAGUGAAAGACGGUCUUGCUGUCACUUAUAGAUAGAUCCGCGCUGCAUUAGCUAGUUGGUAAGGUAACGGCUUACCAAGGCAACGAUGCAUAGCCGACCUGAGAGGGUGAUCGGCCACACUGGAACUGAGACACGGUCCAGACUCCUAAGGGAGGCAGCAGUAGGGAAUCUUCCGCAAAGGGCGAAAGCCUGACGGAGCAACGCCGCGUGAGUGAUGAAGGUCUUCGGAUCGUAAAACUCUGUUAUUAGGGAAGAACAUAUGUGUAAGUAACUGUGCACAUCUUGACGGUACCUAAUCAGAAAGCCACGGCUAACUACGUG